CCGCCCGUCACACCACUGAAGUGUAUUGGCACCUAGAAGCAGUAGCCUGACCGCAAGGAGGCGCCUACCACGGUGUGGUCCAUGACUGGGGUG
rnacentral:rRNA from 1 species